rnacentral:rRNA from 1 species
CCAAGGAGUCUAACAUGUGCGCGAGUCAUGGGACUUUACGAAAUCUAAAGGCGCAAUGAAGGUGAAGGCUUUCCGUUCGGUGAGCCCAGGUCUGAUCCCUCGCCCGAGUAGGCGGAGGCGCACGACUGGCCCGUCUCGUCCCCAUCGCGGGUGAGGCGGAGCAAGAGCGUACACGUUGGGACCCGAAAGAUGGUGAACUAUGCCUGAGUAGGACGAAGCCAGAGGAAACUCUGGUGGAGGUCCGUAGCGAUUCUGACGUGCAAAUCGAUCGUCAAACCUGGGUAUAGGGGCGAAAGACUAAUCGAACCAUCUA